GUAACCUGUACCAAAUAAAUGAAUGACAUGUGUUUAACAUCUGCUGAUCCGCACAGCAAGCCCCUAACCAAGCUGUGCUUUAUAACAAUUCAAAUUCUCUCCAGGAACAUUGAUUCUAUCAGUCAGAAAUAAACCCUUGUAAAUGUGUAUUUGAAGGCUGCUUCUGAUGCAGUCAGUAGAACAGUAUGUGGGAUCCUUGUGCCUGCCUCCCUCUCAUGAUUUCUACUUGUUCUUUUGCAGUGAGAGUCAUGGCAACAGCCUCUUUUACACACUCCACUCGUUUCUGGGUCUUGGGAUGUCUAAUAGUAUCCUAAGAAUCCUAUUUGCAUUUUACCAUUUACCUACCCAUCAGAGGCCAUGAAUAAGACUGGAGAGGUAAUGUUACCUCCUCAACACAAUCAGUUGACACUUCCAAGCAAAAAGGAGAGACCAAAGCCACCAAAAUCUUUGGAAGGAUAUUCAGGACAGUUAAGGGAUUCUGCAUUCUAGAAAACUUAAUCUAAGUUUGUUAGCAAUGAAAAGCAAUGCACAUAUCGGGGCUUAAAAAAGAAAUAUAAUUCUCUGAGAAGCUAGACCCCCCAGACUGGCCAAAUGAUCUCUAAGCAGGCUUGAUUGAGGAGAAACCAGCCUUAAAUGCUCUUUUGGCAAUAAUAGAUAAGGAGUGAAACUAGAAAUGACAGAAAGAGGGAGGGAAUAAGAGGUCCCAGCCACGCAGAAAUGGUGUCAAAAGAAAGAACAGGAAAAGAAUAGAGUUCCUGAGAGGUGAAUUUCACUCUGGGCCUUUACUAGUUAUCCUACGAUCAGUGAACCAGCAACAUCUGCAUCCCAAAAAAAACCUGUUAGAAAUCCAAAUUCUCCAUCCCUACCCCAGAACUACUAAAUCUACUUUUGGACAAUAUCUGCAGGUGACUUAAAAGGACAUGGUUUACAAGUUUGAGAAGCACUAUCAUAAACUAAUGGCAAGUAGAGGCUUAAUGAACUAGAAGAAAUUGCUUAGAAUUUAGGGAAUUCUUUGACUUAAAGGAAAUCCCGCUGUGGACUUAGUCCAACCUCCAUCAUAUUGAAGAGUAGUGAAAAUAAGUAGGAAAAUAAGACUCACCCCACUUUUGCUACUGGUUGUCUCAUCUCUCCAAGGAGGGUGUCAACUCAUUGGGGCCAAAAAUGUUCAUUUACCUUCUUCCUGUUCCUCACAGGGUACAAUCUUGGGACCUGUAAUUGGAUUUCUGCUAACCAGUGACCAGCCAAAUGAAGAUCAUUCUGGAAAGCUGACUGAGAUCAGCUUCUACCAUUUCCUCUUACGCAUUCCUUGCUUUUAACUUUAGCCAGUGCUCCCAGGAUGAUAUGUGAAGAUCACAAGUAUUAAGAAAAGGGUUCAGGAAUCCAUUUCUAAUGUUCAUAAAUAUAAUGUGCCAUUGCUCCAAGGUGGUAUUUCCAGAGCUGGAAGUGUAGCUGACUAUAUUGUUCUAAUCUGCACUAAAUGCCCCAGAGGGAAGGUUACAUAAAAGUGCAAGAACUCAUGAAACCAAUUUGGGUAGAAGUCAAAAACCAAAGCAAAACAUUGGUUCUCUGGCUCAUUGAUUUCCAUCUUCUCCCUAGGGUACAAAGAAUUCUCAACUGUAUCAUAAAGAUACUGCUUCUCUUUUGGUGGAUGAACACCAAUAAUAAUUCUUAUUUUAGGAGCAAUAUGUCAGGUAUUGCAAACAUGACCUCUCAGUUAGCCUCUAUUGCAAGGAUCUUUGUGAUAUCACACUGCCCUGAGCAAAUGCCGGUUUGAGUUCUUUUUUCAGAAAACUGCUGAACAAAGAGAUAUAUGCGUCUGUAUCCAUAGAUAUAUGUGUAUAUCAUCUUUACAGCAAAUAGAAUAGAAGAAGCCUUGGACAGCAAGAAUAGAAAAUGAGUUUAAAAUAUAUAAUUAUAUGCCCAUUUUCUUGGGGAAAAAAUUGAAUCUACACCAGCCUGAUUUCUAGUGUUUGUUCUUUAAGAAAAAUAUCCCCCUAAACACACCAUUCUAUUUUUCCUAAGAAAUGAACUGUUUAGAAAGAGCACUAUAAUGAUCUAAAAAUUCUUCUGGGCCCCAUUGGCGUAGGUGGAAAGCUCCCAGGAGUCUGGACUGCAGCUCAACCAGGGAAGAGAGUUGACCUCUAACCACCAGGCCAUGGUCACCCUGUAGCCUCUACAGCUAUUUCCACACCUUUAAAAUGAUAAAAAGGUAUUAUAAAGAUUCACCACUCAUCUAGCAGAGGAACUACAGCUUUCAAUUGCUUCUGUCCCUCUAGAAUUGCACGAAUGACCCAUAUUACAUAACUUGUGAAGAAAACAGGAAUUUCAAAUCAGCCAAUCUCUAAGUCACAUGGUAAUGAAGGGGGCCAUAAGUUCUCAAGGUAUAUUCCUACCUCUCCAGUUCUCAAGAUAUAUUCCCACCUCUCCAGUCACUGCCAGACCCUUGAAUAAUCCAGAGGGAAACUAUGUAUGAAUUAGCAAAAAAAAAAAAAAAGUCAUCCUUCCUGGGGUGGGGUUUCAAAUACUAUAUUAGUCUGGGUUCUCCUGAACAAAGGCAGUAAGACAGAUGGACAGAUAGAUGGAUGCAUGAACAAAUGCGCACACACACACACAUAUAUUUGUUAGAAGGAGUUGACUCAUGCAGUCACAGAAGCUAAGACCCAAGAACUGUAGCUGGUAAGCUGGAGACCCAGGAGAGCGAAUGGUACAGCUCUAGUCAGAAUAUGAAGGCCUAAUAACCAAGAGAGUCAAAGGUGACAGUUGCAGUCCAAGUCCAAGUAUGAAAGCAGAGGACCAAUGUCCUAGUCAGAAGACACUGAAUUCUCCCUCAGUCCACCUUGGUGUUUUUGUCAGGCCCUCAAUGGAUUGGAUGAAACCCACUCACUAUAGGGAGAACAAUCUGCUCUACUUAGUCAAUCAUUCAAAUGCCAAUCUCAUCCAGAACACUCUCACAGAAAUACCCUGGAUAAUGUUUGGACGUGCGAUGGCCCAUGCAAAUUAACACACAAAAUUAAUCAUCACACAUGUGUGUAUGGUGAAACCACAAGCUGCACUCCAGCCCCUGUCUGUCCCAAAGCGAGGCACCCUGGUGGAGACUUCAAUCUACACAAUCAUACAGAGAUCCUGCCUGCUACUUACAUUUGAUCUUCUCUAAGAAAUGGCCCCUAUUCUUUAGAAUGGGCACCCUUAGAGUUCUGCCUUUGUGGCCCACUCCACCCAUUAUACUCUCCCUGAAUCCUAUCAAAGCUUCUGGACUGAUAAUGUCUUUGGCUCCAUAUAAUGCCUCAACACAGUGUAUUGCACUUCACAAGUUGAUAGAAUGCAGCUACCUGUAAAUUUACAAGCUGAUAGAAUGCAGUUACCUUUAAAUAUUAUACCUGAAGAUUCCCCAGAAAAGCAUCUGAGUUAAGUGACAUACGUAGGUAUGGAACCCUUCCUUUUAGUGGAAAAAGCACAGAUCUCCUUGGACUGCUAGGCCUGUGCAAAACAGUCAAUGCACACUGAGUAUUAAAAAAGAGGACAGAGAAAAGGAAAAAAAUAAAAACAACAGGAAGAACACAAGAAAAAGGAAAAGAAGAAGAAGGAGUAGUCAUCAUCCACAAGACAAGAAAUGAUGUAAACAUUAGGGAAAAUAAACAGAAAUAACAAAUGACUAAGCAUUCAAUGAGUACUGAGUCCCAGAAAUGACACUUGUGCAGAACUGUAACAUAAGGAAUGAAUCACUGUUUACCACCCAUGGACAGGGUGCUGUCAAGUUCAACAUGUGUGCAGCAAUUAGGAGCGGAACAUGCAGAGCCUGCAGAACAGUGAUGUAGAGCUGGCAUCUGAAAACAAACAAACCUUAUUCUUAUCAUUUCUCCAAAAAGGGAGGGGGUACCCCCAAUUCCAAUUUACAACAUACAAAUGUUUCACAAAGAAAAGGUUUGAAGUAAAUGGAAGUUCCAAGUGGUAAGAAAAAAAUGGUUCAGAUAUUGUGGGCUAAGAAAUGUAAACAAUGCAACUAGGGAAAGCUAGAGAACAGAGUUCUAACUAUGGUAACAGGUUUAGAAACCAAACAUGACUCUAUAGGAGAAGUGGAAAUUUUUAUACUUAAAGAGUAAGCAUGAAUAUGGGGGGCGUGUGAUCAAAGUAUGUUAUAUGCAUGUAUGAAUAUGACACAAUAAAACCCUUUGUUCUGCAUAUUAA